rnacentral:lncRNA from 1 species
AAAAGGCGAGGAGCACCAUGUCAUCAUCAUGUCUCCGGAGAGUGGGACUGUGGGUGAGAAACUGCCGACGUCCUCCUCAACUUACAGAUGAAGAAAGGCCUCUACUCACUGGUGAAGGAAGCCGUCAAGUUGAAAGAGCUGUUAUUCCUGUUGGUCUUCAAGCUGUAAGCUGAUACAGGAGAUGAAGAAAGGCUUCUACUCACUGGUCAAGGAACCCGUCAAGUUGAAAGAGCUGUUAUUCCUGUUGGUCUUCAAGCUGAUACAUGAGAUGAAGAAAGGCCUGGUGGUAGUGUUGGUGGCGACGGUAGUGCUGGUGGUGGUCUUCCACCAGUUGAGGCUGAUCUGAAGGCAUUGUUGUCCACUGGUACUGCCAUUACUAACUUGGAGAAUGACCAGAGGGAGGUAGUUGAGGAGAUGAUUGACUUGGAAUCUAAGGCUGAAGGAAUACAUCGUCGUUUACCAACUGUUGACCUACUUGGUCACCUUUUCAGGCGCGGGUAUUCUUUUUGGUUACAGGAAGGUGGCCUGUGCUGAAAUUGUUGUUCUGUGGUUUAUAGUCCUUGGGUCUUCGCCCUAGCUGGCCUAAUUUUAUUCCUUUCCAUGAGCUUUAACAUUCACAGAAUGAAACCCUUGGUGGAACAUCUGACUGAAAGGGGAAAGGUAAUAGCCGAGUCUGCAAAGGAGCUUAUAGACAGAGAAACAGGUCGAAAAAGGGGUGACAAUGCACGGGAUGAGGGUGGAAAUCCUUAACCUCUUGGAAAAGUUGGUGGAG